CAAAGAUUUCUUCCUUUCCAUCACACCUCUGGUGGCUUUCCCACGCCACCACCACCUCCGGUGUCGCCACCAACCACCACGAUCUACCUCCGGCGGAAACAACGUCAACCACCGCAAGCGUACCACUCUUACGACGUUGCUCUGGUGACACAUCUCCAUCCGCCUUUUUUUUUUCUCAAUCUCCUUGAAACACCACCAAAAUUGUUCAGAUCUGGUGCACCACCACCUCCGCCUACCAUUGAUACGUGUCUUCGACCUCCAAAAGCUUUCGUAUUCAUCAGAUUUGUGUUGAUUCUUUAUAAAUCUAUGAUCUCCAGCUGUAGAUCUAUGAUCUUUGACGACAUAUCUCUGAUUUUCGCUUAGAAAUCUAUGAUUUACACCUCCAGAUCUGUUAGAUCUGGUGUGUGUAUGAUGUUUACAUUGAUUGUGUUUACAAAGGGAGUUCUGAUAAAAAGAUGCACACAAGGUGUUUGAUGAAAUGCCUCAAUGAAAUUUGAUCUAAUUUAGAAGAAAAUAAUGGUUGCGAUGCUGGUAUAGGUGGUUGGUGGCAGCGUGUGGUGGUGGUAGUAGUAGGGAUUGAAAUUUUGAUUUCUUUAAGUUUGUGAAUUAGUAUAAAAUGGUUUGUAUUAAAUUGUGAAUUUUGUGAAUUAAAUUACGA